rnacentral:rRNA from 1 species
UGCAGUCGAGCGGAGAGAGGUAGCUUGCUACUGAUCUUAGCGGCGGACGGGUGAGUAAUGCUUAGGAAUCUGCCUAUUAGUGGGGGACAACAUUUCGAAAGGAAUGCUAAUACCGCAUACGUCCUACGGGAGAAAGCAGGGGAUCUUCGGACCUUGCGCUAAUAGAUGAGCCUAAGUCGGAUUAGCUAGUUGGUGGGGUAAAGGCCUACCAAGGCGACGAUCUGUAGCGGGUCUGAGAGGAUGAUCCGCCACACUGGGACUGAGACACGGCCCAGACUCCUACGGGAGGCAGCAGUGGGGAAUAUUGGACAAUGGGCGCAAGCCUGAUCCAGCCAUGCCGCGUGUGUGAAGAAGGCCUUAUGGUUGUAAAGCACUUUAAGCGAGGAGGAGGCUACUUUAGUUAAUACCUAGAGAUAGUGGACGUUACUCGCAGAAUAAGCACCGGCUAACUCUGUGCCAGCAGCCGCGGUAAUACAGAGGGUGCAAGCGUUAAUCGGAUUUACUGGGCGUAAAGCGCGCGUAGGCGGCUAAUUAAGUCAAAUGUGAAAUCCCCGAGCUUAACUUGGGAAUUGCAUUCGAUACUGGUUAGCUAGAGUGUGGGAGAGGAUGGUAGAAUUCCAGGUGUAGCGGUGAAAUGCGUAGAGAUCUGGAGGAAUACCGAUGGCGAAGGCAGCCAUCUGGCCUAACACUGACGCUGAGGUGCGAAAGCAUGGGGAGCAAACAGGAUUAGAUACCCUGGUAGUCCAUGCCGUAAACGAUGUCUACUAGCCGUUGGGGCCUUUGAGGCUUUAGUGGCGCAGCUAACGCGAUAAGUAGACCGCCUGGGGAGUACGGUCGCAAGACUAAAACUCAAUGAAUUGACGGGGCCCGCACAGCGGUGGAGCAUG